CGAAAGAUGGUGAACUAUUCCUGCCCAGGAUGAAGCCAGAGGAAACUCUGGUGGAGGUCCGCAGCAAUUCUGACGUGCAAAUCGAUUGUCAGAGCUGGGUAUAGGGGCGAAAGACUAAUCGAACCAUCUAGUAGCUGGUUCCCUCCGAAGUUUCCCUCAGGAAAGCUGGUACUCAUUACAAUGAUUUUCAUCUGGUAAAGCGAAUGAUUAGAGGUCUUGGGGACGAAAUGUCCUCAACCUAUUCUCAAACUUUAAAUGGGUGAGAUGCCGAGCUUGCUUAAACUUUAUCUGAAGCUUUGGCGAAAAAUCAGAGUGCCAAGUGGGCCAAUUUU
rnacentral:rRNA from 1 species